ACUCCUGCGGGAGGCAGCAGUGGGGAAUUUUACGCAAUGGGGGAAACCCUGACGUAGCGACACCGCGUGAGCGAAGAAGCCCUUUGGGGUGUAAAGCUCUGUCAGCUGGAACGAAAACAAUGACGGUACCAGCAGAGGAAGCAUCGGCUAACUACGUGCCAGCAGCCGCGGUAAGACGUAGGAUGCGAGCGUUGUCUGGAUUUAUUGGGCGUAAAGAGUUCGUAGGUGGUUUGUUAAGUUUGGUGUUAAAGAUCGGGGCUCAACCCUGGGACUGCACUGAAUACUGGCAGACUCGAGUGUGGUAGAGGCUAGUGGAAUUCCCAGUGUAGCGGUGAAAUGCGUAGAUAUUGGGAAGAACACCGGUGGCGUAGGCGACUAGCUGGGCCAUAACUGACGCUGAGGAACGAAAGCCAGGGGAGCGAAUGGGAUUAGAAACCCGAGUAGUCCCAUGAU
rnacentral:rRNA from 1 species